GGAAAAAAACGUGUCUGUAUUGAACAUGUGCAAAUUAUUUUUUCUUGUCAUUAUUCCCUAAACAAAGCAGUAUGACAAGUGUUUACAUAACAUUUACAUCAUAUUGGCUAUUAUAAGUGAUCUAGAGAUGACUUUUCAUCUAUGGGGGCAGAGCCAAGCAUGGAAGAGUGGAGGUCUGAGCAUCACAGCAGGCCCCUCUUUCCCCUCCCCAUCUUUACCCACCUGCUCUAGGCCUACCUUUACUCACCAACUCAGCCUACAGAACACCUGUCCAUCACGAAUCCCUCAGCAAGUUCCUGCUUAAACAAAAGCAUCAAGCAGGUGUACAUGUUCCUGCCUCAGGGUGAGAAAGUCCAGGCCAUGUGUAUCUUUAUCAGUGUUACUGGAGAAGGACUGUGCAGCAAGAUCCAUACCCUGGACAGUGAGCCCUAGUGUGUGAAAGAGUUGCCUGAGUGGAAUUUUGAUGGCUCUAGUACUUUACAAUCUGAAAGCUCCAACAGUGACGUGCUGCCAUGUUUCAGGACCCUUUCCGCAAGGACCAUAACAAGCUGGUCUUCUGUGAAGUUUUCAAGUACAAUCGAAAGCCUGCAGAAACCAAUUUGAGGCACAUCUGUAAAUGGAUAACGGACAUGUGGGAAUUCCAAACUGGACCCUAUGAAGGAAUCAGCAUGGGAGAUCAUCUCCAGGUGGCCCGUUUCAUCUUCCAUCAUGUAUGUGAAGACUUUGAGAGCCAGCCACACUUCACUCCAGGAAGAGAAGUUCCAGGUAGGAGCCUCUUUUCUGUCUGGCAUGGGUUUUACAGGUGAAAAAGCUGAAGCUCAGAGAAACGAAGGAGCCCACGGCCACAUGAUUACACAACUAGCAAGUGACAAAGGUUCAGCACUCCUGUUGAAUUCGACUGGAUUCUGGAAAGAUAUUUGGACUCACUAUGAUAACAGAAGAGUGAUAAUAAAUAUAAAUACCUGAACCUGAAUCUAAAUUUUGCUAUUCUUUAUGGAUGUGAUUUUUGAGCUGGUGCUAUCUA
rnacentral:lncRNA from 13 species